AAGAGAUUUUAAAAUAAAAAUAGCUUCUAACUAAUUUUUAAAAGCAGAUUAAACUGUUUAUCUCUUA
rnacentral:tRNA from 1 species